GGGAAAUUGCUUGUGUGCAAGCAGCAUUUCUGAGAUGGCUUUUCCUGGGAGUUUGACUUGCAGAUAUUUGUGCCAGGAACUCAGGUUUCAGGUAGUGGGCAGGGAGGCUGCUUGGCCAAUCGGAAGGUGGAUCUGCCCAGGUCAUUUGCAAGUCCCAGCCCACUUUCCUGCAGUGCCACCAGGCUGGUGAGCUAUCUCCUUGGGGAUGUCACAGCUCUGGCUACGAUUUCCUUUCACUCCUUAGCUGCUGGAGCAAUCUGAUGAUGACUUUCAUCUGUGCAUGCAGCACUCAGGUAGCAGUAAACCAGAACGACAUGAAUACAGACGAUGAUGGCCCUGGACACGGCAGCCACACUCCAGGUACAUGUCCAUCAGCCCUGAAAACAGGGAGUACUGCAAAUCUACAAACAGGGAAAAACCCUCAGAGAGUUACUUGUGUCAAAUGAAUUUCUAUAUUCUUGAAAUAUGAGGAGAGCUUGAGCCUUUGGGAGAGGGAAUUUCGUUCCCUGUCUGUGCAUUGGGUAUUUGGGUUGGCACACCACAAAGAAAAUUUUCCACUUCCCAUGCACCCAUCUUUUAAUCUUUGAAAACGUCUCAGUGUGAAGUCGGUGUCACAGUAGUCUUGAAGGAGUAGCAU
rnacentral:lncRNA from 1 species